rnacentral:rRNA from 1 species
GAUGAACGCUGGCGGCGUGCCUAAUACAUGCAAGUCGAGCGAAUGGAUUGAGAGCUUGCUCUUAUGAAGUUAGCGGCGGACGGGUGAGUAACACGUGGGUAACCUGCCCAUAAGACUGGGAUAACUCCGGGAAACCGGGGCUAAUACCGGAUAACAUUUUGAACCGCAUGGUUCGAAAUUGAAAGGCGGCUUCGGCUGUCACUUAUGGAUGGACCCGCGUCGCAUUAGCUAGUUGGUGAGGUAACGGCUCACCAAGGCAACGAUGCGUAGCCGACCUGAGAGGGUGAUCGGCCACACUGGGACGGAGACACGGCCCAGACUCCUACGGGAGGCAGCAGUAGGGAAUCUUCCGCAAUGGACGAAAGUCUGACGGAGCAACGCCGCGUGAGUGAUGAAGGCUUUCGGGUCGUAAAACUCUGUUGUUAGGGAAGAACAAGUGCUAGUUGAAUAAGCUGGCACCCUGACGGUACCUAACCAGAAAGCCACGGCUAACUACGUGCCAGCAGCCGCCGUAA